CUGUAAGGAAGUGAAGACAGCCUCAGCCCUACAAGCUCAGUCCUAAAAAGACCUGCCGGAAGGGCACUGGCUGGAGGAGGGAACAGCUGGAACCUGAGACAAGCCAGAAAGCAAGAAGUCAGACAGCAGAGGGGAAGAACACCCGGAUCUCAUUGUGCAGCCCUGGCGGUCCUAGAACCCGCCAUGUCAACCAAGUUGGCUUACUCAUGAAGGCCUAUCCAUGUUUGAUUUCAGCAGAGUGCUGGAUGAAAUUCUUCUGCUAAUAAGACAAACACCCAAAGGAGAAACCAAAUGCCGUUGUAACACUCUUCAUGUUUAUUCCGCGGCCCUGUGAAGGUAGACGAGGAAACCAACGCCAGCGAACCCCAGGAGAUACCUGGGAACUCUACCAUCGGAAUCUCAAGUGAAAACUACAAUUUCCAGAAUCACAGAGUUCCCUUCCAGCCUCCACCUUUGUGGUCUGGGCUUGGGGAAUGCAGGCGCUGGUAAAUGAGUUCCCGGACUCCAAGUUUGUAACAUGAAAUCUCCGUGGCUCUCUGGCUCCUGACUGGGUGACUUCGGACCCACGAUGCUGUGGAACAGGCUUGAUUUACACUGGCUUUUUCGGCGUUGGAUCAGACGCAAACUCGUCCUAACAGUGGGAGACCAGUGAGGCACUUGAGGACACUGUUUUUCCCUCUCAAGCUGCUUGGGAUCUUAGUUGGAGUCAAGGGAGUCAAGUUUCUGGUCCAUCUAACAUGGCGCUUACCUUGAGCCUUGAAUAUGAAAUGUCUUGAGGUUGAGGAUGAAAAACAAUUCUGCCUUGGUUUUUUGGCUCUCAAGAAAAGAUAUUGUAUCAACUAGACCGAGAAGAGGAACGUUUAUCUAAUAUAGAGAAAAUGUCAUUUAAUUUAGUGCUGGCGAUUCAAGAACAUGAGUUGUCAUAGUAAAGUCAUCCCUAGU